rnacentral:tRNA from 1 species
AAGGAUUUAAGUUAAUUAAAACUUGAAGCCUUCAAAGCUUCUAAUAAGAAGUACUUCUUAAGCCUUA